GACGAACGCUGGCGGCGUGCCUAAUACAUGCAAGUUGAGCGCUGAAGGUUGGUACUUGUACCAACUGGAUGAGCAGCGAACGGGUGAGUAACGCGUGGGGAAUCUGCCUUUGAGCGGGGGACAACUUUGGGAAACGAGUGCUAAUACCGCAUAAAAUCUUUAACCACAAGUUUAAAUUUUGAAAGAUGCAUUUGCUUCACCCAAAAAUAGUCCCCCGUUGUAUUAGCUAGUUGGGGAGGUAAAGGCUCACCAAGGGGAAGAUACAUAGCCGACCUGGGAGGGGGAACGGCCAAAUUGGGACUGAGACACGGCCCAAACCCCUACGGGAGGCAGCAGUAGGGAAUCUUCGGCAAUGGACGAAAGUCUGACCGAGCAACGCCGCGUGAGGGAAGAAGGUUUUCGGAUCGUAAAAAUCUGUUGGUAGAGAAGAACGUUGGUGAGAGUGGAAAGCUCAUCAAGUGACGGUAACUACCCAGAAAGGGACGGCUAACUACGUG
rnacentral:rRNA from 1 species